GAAAUUUGUGAUUAUAGAAGUAUAAAAUACAAUCAUAAUAGUGUACAAACUUACAAUUCCAAUUAAUUAUAGUCGAGUUUCGACUACUGCGGGACCUCUAGUCUACAUAAAUUUGCGUCAUAGCUCAUUGUGAUUCUUGAAAAAUUCAGUACGCGCUGUCGUAGCCUUAACAGAAGCUGCUUUCUGUGUUUGUUGCUGAAUACGAUAUCAUUUUUACUCAGCAAUUGGUGCGAAAGAUGUUUUGUAAUUACCCGACCAUUCAUCACUACGGUUUCAUUACGAUUAAAACUAUUAAUCGUUGGAGGCAGAAGACAAUCGAUCCAGACGCAUCCACUGCCGAGUCGAGCACGUAUAUAUUUCAAUGCAUUGAGAAUCGACUAGUGUGUACCUGAUUGAUUAUGUAAUAUAUAUUUUUAAAUAAAAUAUAGAACAGCUUUCUA